UACAGAGGGGGCAAGCGUUAUUCGGAAUUAUUGGGCGUAAAGGGCGCGUAGGCGGCUUUGCAAGUGGCGGGUGAAAUCCCUCGGCUUAACCGAGGAACUGCCUGUCAAACUGCGUGGCUUGAGACCGGGAGAGGUGAGUGGAAUUCCCAGUGUAGCGGUGAAAUGCGUAGAUAUUGGGAGGAACACCAGUGGCGAAGGCGGCUCACUGGACCGGUACUGACGCUGAUGCGCGAAAGCGUGGGGAGCAAACAGG
rnacentral:rRNA from 1 species